GGGGUGUUAGCUCAGUUGGCUAGAGCGCUUGCCUGGCAGGCAAGAGGUCAGGGGUUCGACUCCCCUACACUCCA
rnacentral:tRNA from 1 species